AUACGGAGGGUGCAAGCGUUAUCCGGAUUUAUUGGGUUUAAAGGGUCCGUAGGCGGAUGUGUAAGUCAGUGGUGAAAUCUCGCAGCUUAACUGCGAAACUGCCAUUGAUACUGCAUGUCUUGAGUGAAUUUGAAGUGGCUGGAAUAAGUAGUGUAGCGGUGAAAUGCAUAGAUAUUACUUAGAACACCAAUUGCGAAGGCAGGUCACUAAGAUUUAACUGACGCUGAUGGACGAAAGCGUGGGGAGCGAACAGGAUUAGAUACCCUGGUAGUCCACGCCGUAAACGAUGCUAACUCGUUUUUGGAUAUUCGUAUUCAGAGACCAAGCGAAAGUGAUAAGUUAGCCACCUGGGGAGUACGUUCGCAAGAAUGAA
rnacentral:rRNA from 1 species